GUGCGCAGGCGGUUACUUAAGUCAGGUGUGAAAGCCCUGGGCUUAACCUAGGAAUUGCGCUUGAGACUGGGUAGCUUUGAGUGUGGCAGAGGGAGGUGGAAUUCCACGUGUAGCAGUGAAAUGCGUAGAGAUGUGGAGGAACACCGGUGGCGAAGGCGCCACUCUGGGCCGAAACUGACGCUGAGGAGCGAAAGCGUGGGUAGCAAACAGGAUUAGAUACCCUGGUAGUCCACGCCGUAAACGUUGGGCACUAGGUGUGGGCCCUAACCAACGGGGUCCGUGCCGUAGCUAACGCGUUAAAUAUGCCGCCUGGGGAGUACAGUCGCAAGGUUGAAACUCAAAGGAAUUGACGGGGACCCGCACAAGCGGUGGAUGAUGUGGUUUAAUUCGAUGCAACGCGAAAAACCUUACCUACCCUUGACAUGCCAGGAAUCCUGCAGAGAUGUGGGAGUGCUCGAAAGAGAGCCUGGACACAGGUGCUGCAUGGCCGUCGUCAGCUCGUGUCGUGAGAUGUUGGGUUAAGUCCCGCAACGAGCGCAACCCUUGUCAUUAGUU
rnacentral:rRNA from 1 species